rnacentral:lncRNA from 1 species
UUCUUUUUUGCCACCGCAAAAUGCCUGUGUGAUGUGUGGUAAUGCACCUUAUUAGGAUGCACAAGGGAGUGACUAUGCUCCUUCAUAUAUUUGGUCACAACCCACUUGUUUUGACCUUUUAACUCCACUCUAAGCAUUGCAUCACAGGAUUCACCGUACACUGUUCUCAAACCAUUACACAAGAAAUCAGUCUUCAAUCGAUUAAACUGAUAGACAUGGGUGGUAAGGCAUCACAGGAUUCACCGUACACUGUCCUCAAACCAUUACAUAAGAAAUCAGUCUUUUGUCGAUUAAACUGAUAGGCAUGGGUGGUAAAACCCAAACGCCUAGCGUAUUCAUCAUAGAAAUUCUUAGCCUGAUCUUCAGAAUGAAAUACCAUACCCGUUUGUGGCUCAACAACCUCAUC